rnacentral:rRNA from 1 species
AUACAGAGGGUGCAAGCGUUAAUCGGAUUUACUGGGCGUAAAGCGCGCGUAGGCGGCUAAUUAAGUCAAAUGUGAAAUCCCCGAGCUUAACUUGGGAAUUGCAUUCGAUACUGGUUAGCUAGAGUGUGGGAGAGGAUGGUAGAACUCCAGGUGUAGCGGUGAAAUGCGUAGAGAUCUGGAGGAAUACCGAUGGCGAAGGCAGCCAUCUGGCCUAACACUGACGCUGAGGUGCGAAAGCAUGGGGAGCAAACAGGAUUAGAAACCCGGGUAGUCC